CAACCUGCCGAUGACUCGGGGAUAGCCUUUCGAAAGAAAGAUCAAUACCCGAUGGCAUAGUUCUUCCNCAUGGUAGAACUAUUAAAGAAUUUCGGUCAUCGAUGGGGAUGCGUUCCAUUAGGUUGUUGGCGGGGUAACGGCCCACCAAGCCUUCGAUGGAUAGGGGUUCUGAGAGGAAGGUCCCCCACAUUGGAACUGAGACACGGUCCAAACUCCUACGGGAGGCAGCAGUGAGGAAUAUUGGCCAAUGGACGAGAGUCUGAACCAGCCAAGUAGCGUGAAGGAUGACUGCCCUAUGGGUUGUAAACUUCUUUUAUACGGGAAUAAAGUGAGGCACGUGUGCCUUUUUGUAUGUACCGUAUGAAUAAGGAUCGGCUAACUCCGUGCCAGCAGCCGCGGUAAUACGGAGGAUCCGAGCGUUAUCCGGAUUUAUUGGGUUUAAAGGGAGCGUAGGCGGACGCUUAAGUCAGUUGUGAAAGUUUGCGGCUCAACCGUAAAAUUGCAGUUGAUACUGGGUGUCUUGAGUACAGUAGAGGCAGGCGGAAUUCGUGGUGUAGCGGUGAAAUGCUUAGAUAUCACGAAGAACUCCGAUUG
rnacentral:rRNA from 1 species